GUGAUGGAGAAAAAAUGUGUUUUCCUUGGGUAGCGAAACAAUUUGAGUCCUGACUCCAAAUAGAUUAGCCCCUGUUAAAAGAAUAGUUCUCAGCCUUGGCACCUGAGACAAAAUGAGCUUGCAGGGAGAUGCUUGUCAAAAGCUGUGGAUGGGGAAUUAAGAUUUUGAGUCUGCUUCAAUGUCAGUAAGAAAAUUGCAAUUUUUAAAAGUAACUACUGUCCACUGGAAGAUAAAAUGAUUGGAGAAUAAAAAAAAUAAAAUCCAACUUUAUGUAUGAACUUUACAGCAAUUCUUCUCUAAGUCAUAAAGGCAUCUGCUGAGCCAAACAACAUUACCUUGGAUUAUUUUUCCCUGUCAAGUUAAUCUUCCUGGAGGAAAAGGAAUGGAAUUGAUUGUGAAACAGCUCAGCCACAGCCACACUCAGUGAAAACUGAGGUUAACUUGCAAGGAAGUAUCAGCACCACUGGGCUCAGUGAUCCUCAGCAAUGUUCCUUUUAUUGGGAGCUGGAUUAAGCCACCACCCAUGCAAAACAAAAGUAAUUUCAGAUGAGGCUUGCGAACUCUUUCGGACAGGACCCUUUGGAAUGUCAACAGCAUCACUGGCAAUUGUGGGAAGAGGGAGGAAUAAUGUGACUGCUUCAGCACACUUUUGAUCCCAGUUUGGACAAGUUUUGUAUCUUGGAUAUGUGCAGUCCUGCUGAAUAGAUUGAUAUCAAUCAUAAUGCUGCAGACGUUUUUGUGGAAGAGAUCGUCAGGGGGAAAUAGGGAGAGAACAUGACUCAUAUUUUGUGUGUAUUCUACACAUGGAAGGAAAACAGGAAGCCCUCAACGGGGACUCAGCAUGUACUCAGAAACACUAACUGCAGCAAACUCUGGAAGCAGUAUCCAAAUUUAUAUAGAAGACCAGGGAAGAAAUUUAGUAGUCUUCUGUAUUUCAGAUGAUGGUAAGAAAUAGUCCAGGAAUCAUUUAACAAAAGAAGACAAACAUGUAAUAGUCACACUCCUCAACAGAAUGUAACAUCAGCAGGAGGAGGAAGAAGAGCUGGAAAGAAUGCUAGGGAGCGUCCACACAGAGCCUUCAAUAGCAUAAGUGUUACCAGCUACUUGUGAACUAGAAUGUCUCCCCAGCAAUUCUUCUGGACAGCAGCUCUGUAAAGCAGCCCUGCAGGCAGCAGCAUGCAGGAAAGAAGGUACAUGAUGCAACACGCGCAAAUGUCCCCUAAGGAGAAAAUCCUAGCUCUGAAAAAUAACAGACUAAUUUAUCUGGCUGGCUCUGGUGAAUGAUUCAGGCAGAAAACACCUGCUCUGCUCCUGAGUGCUGCAGCAGGGAAGGCCUGAUGUGGCCUUUGGAUUGUAAUGGGAGUAAUAUGGAUGAAGAAAAUCAAAGUGCAGCAUUCCAGUGCAUCAGGAAGACUGCAAACGUGUUGACGUUUUUUGCAAAUAUUGCUGUUUCCAUGAUGUACAUGUAAAUUGGCAUUAGUACUAGUCUGCCUGACACGGUCACAAAAUUGAAUGAAAGGUAACCAGAAAUGCUGUCCUAAAGAGCCAGAAAGAGUUCAUGCCAUCAGGUAUGAACUUAGCCUUUAUCAGAUCAUAUGCCUCGUAUGUCACAGUAGUGGGGUGAGCUGCAGGUAUCACCUGACUCGUGAGUUCUGAGUGCCAUUAAUAAGAGCAAUAAUUUAUAAAGUCUGCUUAGGUCUUUAUCUCUGGUAAUGUAAUAAUCAAGGACUUCACAAUGUUAUGUUCAUUGUGUGUGAAUACUUGACCUGUUUCUUUUGAGAAUCAUGUCAUGUCAUAGAAACAUUACUUUGUAAAUUUGCAUCAGUUCAGUGUAGUUAACAGAAAAGGCUAUAUUCAGAAUAGUCUUAACUAUUAUUAACUAUAAAAUGCAUAUAAACAUACAUAAAAUUAAUUUAAGUCCAAUCCGUAACUCAAUUCGUACCUUAUGAUGUGCAUACAUUCCUGUUUCUUUUGUGAAUAACAAUUUUGCUUUUGAAUUUAGUUUUGUAAUUAAAAAUAAUAAUAAUUCCUUUAUUUCCUUUGAACUUUGCUCCAGUGUGGCACACAGCAGCAUUAGCAUAAAAAAGCUGUAAUUCUGGUGUCCCCUAUUUUAAUUAAGUAUUUCAGGUUUAACAUGACUCUAAAAAUUGAGUCACAGUUACCUUUGGAAACUCCAGUUGCAAGUACAUCUACCUCAUGCUGUUUGAAAGCAUGCUGCCUCCUCAGUCUGUAGGAUGGCAAUAUGGCAUGGGAGUCCUAUUCUCAUUUCUGUCCAGAACAGAACCCCAGGAUGGCUUGUCUCAUCACACAAAUUGUCAUUUCUUAGCCAGGUGGUUAUAUAAGAUUGUUCUUUAUCCCUAUGAAUGCAACUUUUUUUUUUUUUUUUAAAGUCAGCCAGUUGAAAAACAGAUGCCCACAUCUUUGUAGUGGUCUUAUAUGAAUGAGUCUGAAGAACUGCAGGUAGGAGAAAUCUUUGACAGAAGAUGGUAAAUUGUCUUGGUUCAGCUGGUGCUUUAAAUGCUAGGUAUUGCUCUUCUGCAGUUUAACAUACUAUUCUGUCCUUCGUAAGAAUUAGAAGUGGAAGGCCAGGAGCAUCUAACAAGCUAAGCCUCUGAUUUUGCACUGGCUAUUUAUAGUCUUCAUUAGAUAUCAGCUAACACUGAAUUCAGCUUCCUAUCUUUAAAACAGGAAUUAAAUGUAAAGUCUUACCCCAACUGACGAUUGAUUCUCUGGGCAAGUUUUGCCAACAUUUCUUGACAAUCUUUGAAUACAUCAACUUCCUAGAGUGGAAAAUAUUCAGUUGUCAUGGUUUUCACCAAACUGUAUUUGUUUUAGUGAAUAUACCCUUUUUAUUCUACAUUCUAGAUGUUGCCACCAUCUCAUAUAUGUCAAAAGUAAUAUGGAUAAAGGAUGUGUUUUGGUCCCUCUCUUCCUCAGUGCCACAAAGCUGUAUCUCUGGAGUUGUUUUUGUAUGGCUUUUUAUAUUAUAUCAAACAUGCUUGUAGAUUUUAAUGGAUUGAGUCAUUCUAAUAAAGAGAAGGCCAAAUUUCCUUGGCUUAGGUAUAAUGAA